GUGAGUGAGUGUGUGUCUGUUAAUGUGUGAGUGUGUGUGUCUGCUAGUGAGUGAGUGUGUGUCUGACUGUCAGUGAGUGUGUGUUUGCCUGUGAGUGUGUGUCUGUUAGUGUGUGUGUCUGUUAGUGUGAGUGUGUGUCUGUUAAUUUGUGUGUGUUUGUUAGUGUGUGUGUGAGUUUGUGUGUGUGUGUCUGCUAGUGAGUGUUAGUGUGUAUGUGUGUGUCUGACUGUGUGUCAGUGAGUGUGUGUGUGUCUGCUAGUGAGUGUGUGUGUCAGUGAGUGUGUGUCUGUUAAUGUGUGUUUGUUAGUGUGUGUGAGUUUGUGUGUGUGUCUGCUAGUGAGUGUGUGUCUGUUAGUGUGUGUGUCUGACUGUUUGUCUGUUAGUGUGUAUGUGUGUGUCUGACUGUGUGUCAGUGAGUGUGUGUGUGUAUGUGUCUGACUGUGUGUGUGU